ACCCACUCUUCUCCUCGGCAAGCCAAGCAAAAAGAAGCUUUUUGACUGUGAGAUCCUACUUCCCUGUUCCAGGCUCACAAUCAAUGCUCAAGCAAUGGUUAAAAAAAUUUGAGGGGAUGUAUGACAUGGUCUGUGAAGGCUGGGUCCCUGGUUGCAGUGAUGAACAUAGCUUAAUUGAGGAGACAUCAGACCUUGUGACCCUGAAUCUGACAGCUGUAGACCCGGAG